UGGAUGACGAAAUGUUUUGUGCCAAUAAAAAUUCUGCAACAAGCUAUAAAAGGAGCGUUGGCCAAGGAUUCAGAGGAUCCGGACAAAGGUUUAAGAACGGCGAUGUCUAACGUUAAAAAUAAGGUUACGAAGCAAAAGAACAGAAACAAUAACUGUACAAUUUUUGAAAAUCUAAAUAGUACCAUAUAAUUAAAAUAAAUUAAAAUGAAAUGAAUUAAA